UGAGGGCCGGGAGCGCGGCGGGGGGAUAGAGCCGCUGAAGAGGCAGACUCACCUAUCUACCCGCCCGCUCGUCCGUAUUAACCGAGGGUCUUGUUUACAGACAGUUAUUGUUUCACUCUGAUGCUUUUGCCAAAUAUGUUUCAUCUUCAGAGAAAUUCAUGGAAAGGACUCUGGCGCUCACUCUAGAAUACAGGCUUCUGAUAAACUUUCAGAUCAGAAAACUGAACUGGGACAUGAUUGGAAACACUGGUUAUAUUACCAAAGCUUUGACUGGAAUGCCAUAUUUGAGAGAAACAUGCACAGACUCAGAUAUGACCAGACAGCUUUUCAGAGACAAAGAUUGGACUUUAUGGAAUAAAGUCACUUGGAAAUAUUGGCCUGGUACCUUGUUUACAGCUUUCCCAGCAGCCUUACUGGAAUCACUGAGAGAUGAACCUGCCCUUUUUCCUAAAGCCUUGUAAACUGAAGCUGGUGGACUUGAUAUAAACUUAAGAGAGAUUCAUGUCUGUUGCCAUGUAAGCCACUCAGACAGAUACCUGAAUACCUGAUGACUUCAUCAGAAAUGUUUCAAACUACAAGAAAUGCUUUGACUGUGACAUCUAGAAAUCUUUUUGACCAGCUGCACCCUGUUCUCAGAAACUGGUUUAUAAUUUGCUCCCACCAUUAACUUUGUUUUUCUUUUUGUCUUAUUAAUUACCUGGUUACUUGCUUCCACAAUAUAGGCCAAAUUUUGGGAGCCCACCUGCAUCACCAUCUUCCUAAAAGACUGGUUCAAUAAGAUGGAACAACAGGAUGUCUCACAAGAUUGAGGGAUUAAACAACAAAAGGGGGGAAAUUGAUACCAGCUCAAGACAAGGUUGACAUAAAGGAAGCCAUAUUGUAGAAAAGAAGCCCUAUUGUAACUUUGAAUGACCUCUGACUAACUAACCCAGCUGGAUAUGCACUCUCCAGGAGAUCUAACUGCUCUGUAGAUUUUACAACCCCUGCUUGUGCAUGUACUUCCCAGCUGUGAUAAGAUGCUAACUUUGUCCUUUUGCAUUCCUUAGGAAUAUGAGGACCUCUGAACAGAAAGUCUAUGUUGAUAGCCAUCAUAAAUGAAAACUGAAAGAUCUGGUGUGGGGACUCCCAGUCUGUAACACCAGGGGGUCAACAUUCCUAACUCCCUCCCCUGUAACCCACCAGCCUAUAUAACUGCUGUAAGAUUUUGUGUUCACUUAAGAUGGUUCUUUCGGACGUUAGUUGGCCAUGUUCCCUCUUGCUAGCAAGCUGUAAUAAAAUGCCCU